GAUGAACGCUGGCGGCGUGCCUAAUACAUGCAAGUCGAGCGAACAGACGAGGAGCUUGCUCCUCUGACGUUAGCGGCGGACGGGUGAGUAACACGUGGAUAACCUACCUAUAAGACUGGGAUAACUUCGGGAAACCGGAGCUAAUACCGGAUAAUAUAUUGAACCGCAUGGUUCAAUAGUGAAAGACGGUUUUGCUGUCACUUAUAGAUGGAUCCGCGCCGCAUUAGCUAGUUGGUAAGGUAACGGCUUACCAAGGCAACGAGGCGUAGCCGACCUGAGAGGGUGAUCGGCCACACUGGAACUGAGACACGGUCCAGACUACUACGGGAGGCAGCAGUAGGGAAUCGUCCGCAAUGGGCGAAAGCCUGACGGAGCAACGCCGCGUGAGAGAUGAAGGUCUUCGGAUCGUAAAACUCUGUUAUUAGGGAAGAACAAAUGUGUAAGUAACUAUGCACGUCUUGACGGUAACUAAUCAGAAAGCAACGGCUAACUACGUG
rnacentral:rRNA from 1 species